AGUCCUUAAGAUGUUUGGGCCUUGAAGGAUGGGUAGGAACUUGCCAAUUAGAUGAUGGGAGCAAGGACCUGUGACAGUUGACCUACAAGGCAAAGUGUGCUCAGUAGCACCUGGAGGACUAGUCAUAUGAAUCCCAUGCCGCCUUCUGCAUGUCUUACUCUACUCAUCUGCAUGGAUGGAGGCAAGGAGCGCCAAAGCUUAGAAGAGAAUAGUGGUAAAAUUAAAUCCUUUCUACUUAUGCUCACUUCCUGGGGAGCCUCAACUACUUCUUCAUGUGGGCCCUCGAUUCUACAUGUUCAGAUCUGGCCUUUCUCCUGGGGUUCAUCAGACCUUUCUAACUCCAGGUAUUUCUACUUGGCUGUUCCACAUUUAUGUCAAAUGUACCAUGAAGACCCCAUACCACACACAGGACUGUCUUCCUUUCCCUUCUUCAAAAUUAGCUCCACUUUGGGCUUCCCUGAUAGCUCAGUUGGUAAAGAAUCCACCUGCAAUGCAGGAGACCCCAGUUCAAUUCCUGGGUUGGGAAGAUCUGCUGGAGAAGGGAUAGGAUACCUGCUCCAGUAUUCUUGGGCUUACCUUGUGGCUCAGCUGGGAAAGAAUCCACCUGUAAUGUGGGAGACAUGGGUUCAAUCCCUGGGUUGGGAAGAUCCCCUGGAGAAGGGAAAGGCUAUCCAUUCCAGUGUUCUGGCCUGGGGAAUUCCACAAACUGUGUAGUUCAUGGGGUCCCAAAGAGUUGGACACGACUGAGCGACUUUUACUUUCAUUUAAAUGAUCCGUGCCACCCAGAGCUUGUGCUCAUCCAGAAAGGAGCCAUCGGGGUCAUCUUUGAUUUGUCUCCUAGCCUUUCCUAUCUGUCAUCAUCAUUUUUUUUUUCUUGUUGUUUAAAUUUUUUUGUUUAAUUGGGGUAUGGUUGAUUUACAAUGCUGUUUUGGUUUCAGAUGUACAGUAAAAUGAAUCAGUUAUGCAUACAUAUACAGCCACCCCUUUUUAAAUUUUUCUCCCAUGUGGGCCAUUACAGAGUAUUGAGUAGAGUUCCCUGUGGUAUACAGUAAAUCCUUAUGUGUUAUCUGUUUUAUAUAUAGUAAUGUGUAUGUGUCAAUUCCAAUCUCCCAAUUUAUACCCUCCACUGGUGACCAUAAAUUUGUUUUCUAUGUCAGUGACUCUGUUUCUCUUUUGUAAAUGAGUACAUUUGUAUCAUUUUUUAAAGAUUCCACAUAUGAGUGAUAUCAUAUGAUAUUUAUCUCAUCAUCAUUUUCAAUCAUUCAUUAAAAUCCUCUUAGUCUACCCUUCAGAUAAUCCCCCCACGCCCAUUUCUUCAUUCUCCUUAUCAUUAUUACAUUGGAGUUAGGCCUUCUAUCACAGUACACCUAAACUGUUGCAUUAGCUUCCCAAAUCUUCUGGCCUCUAAUUCAGCCAGGCUGAAAUGUUUCCACUGCCUGCCAUGCUGAUACUCAAAGCCCCAGUGGACCUUAAACUUAAAGUUCUCUGACUGGUGGUGCUAGAUUGGACUCCUGUUUCCAGUUCUUCAGAGUGGGAUCAUGAACCUCAGCCUUUGCUGGGGAACUUUGCCUUACCUCUCAUAUGAGCAGAGUGUAAUUUUCUACCCCACUGACAUUGAGUUUAACUACAUAACAUGCUUUGGCUGAAAGAGCUGUGACUACAGUGUGGCAGAGAUUUGCUUGCGUGACUUUGUUUCUCUUGGAUCCACCCUGAGAAGAACAUGUCCCAGGCAGAGCUUAUUCCUCUAGCUUUGGCCCUAGAAAGAGACCCAUGAGUUAACUAGAGCCUAACCCGCAGUCCAAGGGAGAGCUGCCCUAACUGAACUAAUGACUUAAGAGCAAGAAAAAAAAAGGUUAUUGUAAAGCUCCUGGGAAUUGGGGAUGUUUGUUACACGGCAUUAGUGUAGAAAUAGUAAACCAAUACACAUAUGUUCAAGGCUUUCUCAAACACUCUUUCUCCUCUUUUAAAUACUCCCCUAUAUAAAGACUUGAUGCUGGUGAAGUGGUCUCUAAAACUUGUCUCCUUCACUUUUUUGAUUACUUUUAUCACAUUUUGACCUUCUCCUUGUCCUUGAAGGUCCCAUAUUGUUUCUUUUCAGUAGAUUCCUCUCUGAUGACCACAACUCUGAUCUCCCUUCUUCAGACUGCUUAGUGUCCUUGUCUUUUUUUUUCACACUUCAGGUUUGGUCUGAUACUGUUAGUUAUCGUGAAGCAUAUGUAUUUGAUCAUAUCAUAUAAUUCCCAUAUUCAAAAUCCUCCCAAGAGACUUCAUUACCUUCAGGACAGGGUCCAAGCUCCUUACUUUCUUGUCUCCGUUCCUCUGUGCAUACUGAGUUUACAUUUCCCCCAACACAGCCUGCUCUUUCUUGCCUCUGGGUCUUUGUGCAUCCUGUUCCCUCUGUCUGGACCACCUUUUCCUCCACUACUCUUUUAUCAACAUACUCCUGAGUUCAGGUAUAUUUGCUGAUAAGUUACAGAAACUCUCACAACCCUCUGUAGCCAGAUGAUGUUCCUUGUUUUGGCAACAGUGGGCUGCCCUGUGCUACAGAAAUGCAUCAGCAGCAGAGUCUCAGUGGCUUCACCAACAAAGCUGUGUUUCUCCUACUCAUGUCUGUGAUGCUGAAUGCAGGAGGGUGGGGAAGCUGUGCUUCACUCAGUCCUUUGGGGCCCAGGCUGAGAGGAGCUCUGCCAUCUUGGAUUUGCAUCAUCUGGACUUAUGGCCUUGUGCCUUUCUCCUCUCAGUCCACAGCCCCAGCUAGCCCCAAGAUCCCCAAAUAACUGACAGCAAGGUUGUGAAGUUCAGUGGGGCACAUGGGAUGUUUGGGGAGCACUAGCUCUCUAUCUCGGAGAAGGCAAUGGCAACCCACUCCAGUACUCUUGCCUGAAGGAUCCCAGGGAUGGCGGAGCCUGGUGGACUGCCGUCUAUGGGGUCGCACACAGUCGGACACGACUGAAGCAACUUAACAUAGCAUAGCAUAGCUCUCUAUCUCUGUGUGUUUCACAGGUGGGUUUCUGUGAACCUCCAGAGUUUAUCUUUUACCACACAUAAUAUCAUGGUAUUGUCUUGUCUGGAUCCAUGUGGACUUGACGAUCAUGGGGGUAGAUGCUGUAUCUGAGUUUUUGUCAUCUGUCCAGAGGCAAAUGCAGGACCUGAUACACCGUCACUGGUGUAGAAAUACUGUUGAAGAGAUGCUGAACCUUUGUGCCCCUCUGCUGUCUAAGAAGACUCCGUGCUCCCUGAUGGCAGGAACCACCUCAUCUCUCCCACAACAUCUAGUGAGCAUCUUCCAACGAAUAGACAACUGAUGCAUAUUUAGGGCAUUUUUAUGAUGGCUUGGUGUGAUUUUCCAACAGCUAAUAACUUGUGGUUGCACUUCUGUACAUAGAUAUUUCUACAGAAAUACAGCUUAUUCUACAGAAUAGAUUUAAAUGAUUUUCCUAUUAUC
ensembl:lncRNA